UACGGAGGGGGCUAGCGUUGUUCGGAAUUACUGGGCGUAAAGCGCACGUAGGCGGCUUUGUAAGUUAGAGGUGAAGGCCCAGGGCUUAACCCUGGAAUUGCCUUUAAGACUGCAUCGCUAGAAUCGUGGAGAGGUGAGUGGAAUUCCGAGUGUAGAGGUGAAAUUCGUAGAUAUUCGCAAGAACACCAGUGGCGAAGGCGGCUCACUGGCCCGGUACUGACGCUGAGGUGCGAAAGCGUGGGGAGCAAACAGG
rnacentral:rRNA from 1 species